CCUCUCAAAAUUCUUCUCUACCCAACAUUUUAAGCUUACUACCUUUACCUCUCCUACCACCCCACCAUUCAACAAUUUACUUCCUAAUUGAAAUUAGGUAAGUACAAAGAGGGUUAAGGGCUUACCUCCGCUAUUGAAGAAGUAAAUCAUGGCAGUAGCCACACCCAAAGCAAAGAAAGAAGAAGAGGAGAAGGAAGAAAAAGAAGAAGAAGAAGAAAAAGAAAGAGAGAGAGAGGAAGAGAGAGGCUAUGGUGGGGAAGCAUGGGGAAGGGGAGAACACAGGAGAGAUAG
rnacentral:lncRNA from 1 species